AAGCUGAGAAAAAAAAUCAUGAUUAUGCGAAUUUUGGGGCAGAUUUGGGACAAGUGACUUUGCAAAACGAAGCUUCCUAUCUUGAUGACGCCUUGGACAUGCAGAACACAUCUUAUUCGGACGAUUCAGCAGGUAAAAGUUUGGUUCCAAAACAGGCGAAUGAAAUGGAAGAGGACAAAAGGAGGUGAUCCGAAUACUUUCAGGGGAAAACCUAAACGAAGAAUGUGACAAAAUUGUUUGACCAGUUUUUUACGCCCAAUAAAUAUGCAGUUUUUAAAGUGAAA